GAUCAGGUUUCCCCUUCGGGGGCAAAAUGACAGGUGGUGCAUGGUUGUCGUCAGCUCGUGUCGUGAGAUGUUGGGUUAAGUCCCGCAACGAGCGCAACCCUUAUGACUAGUUGCCAGCAUUUAGUUGGGCACUCUAGUAAGACUGCCGGUGACAAACCGGAGGAAGGUGGGGAUGACGUCAAAUCAUCAUGCCCCUUAUGACCUGGGCUACACACGUGCUACAAUGGAUGGUACAACGAGUUGCGAGACCGCGAGGUCAAGCUAAUCUCUUAAAGCCAUUCUCAGUUCGGACUGUAGGCUGCAACUCGCCUACACGAAGUCGGAAUCGCUAGUAAUCGCGGAUCAGCACGCCGCGGUGAAUACGUUCCCGGGUCUUGUACACACCG
rnacentral:rRNA from 2 species